rnacentral:lncRNA from 1 species
UGUAUUAUUAGAAGUGAAAAAUGAUUACAAGAGGGAUGAACAAUGAGCUAAAAGUGGUUAGCUUAUUCCAUAAGCAGCCAAUUUAUACAAUCAUAAAUUUGGUGGGAAAAGAUUUUAAUUGUAGUUAUAACUAGAAUUCAGUUAUGAGGAUAAUGUACCUCCUGUUAACAGGAGUUUACUUAUCUACUUAACCAAAUAAAAAUGCUACACAUGUCCUACCUUAUAUUUAUAUUUUUAAAUUAUUAAACAAAGCCCAUGGUCACCUUCUGCCACAUACCAACAACCUGAAUGUCAUUACCACAUGUGUAACAGACAAGAUAAUGGCAAUGGGGAACAUAUUGGGUUGUGGUAUUUGAAGGGGAAGAUUGGUCAGCGAUGAGGUGUAAAACUUCAUUUAUUCAUGUGUAACAGAACACACAUGAUUGAAUCUGAAGUGAAGAUGGAUUGGACAGAGAAUUCGCCGGAGGUCUCGUUCACGACGUAGCUAAGAUGGUGGUGGCAUGUAGAAGAGCGAUUUGGAAGCCAUCGCAUAUGCUGUGGAAUUUGGGGUUUUAGGUCACAUAUUUGUCAAGAAAUUGAAAUGGGACUGAAGAAUAACGCAUCAAUUCAAAAUAUCAAAGUGAUUCCUUUCUUCUUUUUCUGUCAGUUGGUUUGCAUUGUGGGACAAAAUAACUAGAAGAUAAUGAAUUUUCAUUGAUGGGCCGUGGGCGGCGAAGUGGAGCUAGGAAACAAUGUUCUCAUUGAUGGUCUGAAACAUAGAAGAUAACAGUGUUUCUGCAGCAACAAAAAAGAAGGAGAAUGUUUUCUAUUUUGUUUAAUAAUUUAAAUAUAUAUAUAAAGUUGGACAUGUGUAAUAUUUUAAUUGGUUUAAGGAGAUAAAGUAAUAUCCUGUUAACAUGAUGUACUUUAUUCUCUUCAGUUAUUGGCAGUUACAUUCUGUUUACAAGGGUAGUCUAUAG